GAAGGAACGAACCAUCUUUUUAUGUGUUUAAAUAUUUGGUGCGGAGGGGCAUUUUAUUUCGUACAGACAAUUUGAUGAAGUAUAUAUAUGAAGCCAAAAAAAAUUAAACUUUAAAAAAAAUCCUUUGUUCAACCACAAAAGAUGAAUCGUCGAUAUCUAACAGUAUUAACAAUCAGAUAGCUAACUAUCAGGGGAAAUAAUGUUGAUUUUAAGCAACUAUUGGUUACCGUAUGGCCUUCGCAUUU
rnacentral:lncRNA from 1 species